UGGGGAAUAUUGGACAAUGGAGGAAACUCUGAUCCAGCAAUUCUGUGUGUGUGAAGAAGGUUUUAGGACUGUAAAACAUUUUUAGUAGGGAAGAAAAAAAUGACGGUACCUACAGAAGAAGCAACGGCUAAAUACGUGCCAGCAGCCGCGGUAAUACGUAUGUUGCGAGCGUUAUCCGGAAUUAUUGGGCUUAAAGGGCAUCUAGGCGGUAAGACAAGUUGAAGGUGAAAACCUGUGGCUCAACCAUAGGCUUGCCUACAAAACUGUUGAACUAGAGUACUGGAAAGGUGGGUGGAACUACACGAGUAGAGGUGAAAUUCGUAGAUAUGUGUAGGAAGGCAGAUGAUGAGGAUAACUCACUGGACGGAAACUGACGCUGAAGUGCGAAAGCUAGGGGGGCAAACAGG
rnacentral:rRNA from 1 species